GCAGUCGAGCGGACAGAUGGGAGCUUGCUCCCUGAUGUUAGCGGCGGACGGGUGAGUAACACGUGGGUAACCUGCCUGUAAGACUGGGAUAACUCCGGGAAACCGGGGCUAAUACCGGAUGGUUGUUUGAACCGCAUGGUUCAAACAUAAAAGGUGGCUUCGGCUACCACUUACAGAUGGACCCGCGGCGCAUUAGCUAGUUGGUGAGGUAACGGCUCACCAAGGCAACGAUGCGUAGCCGACCUGAGAGGGUGAUCGGCCACACUGGGACUGAGACACGGCCCAGACUCCUACGGGAGGCAGCAGUAGGGAAUCUUCCGCAAUGGACGAAAGUCUGACGGAGCAACGCCGCGUGAGUGAUGAAGGUUUUCGGAUCGUAAAGCUCUGUUGUUAGGGAAGAACAAGUACCGUUCGAAUAGGGCGGUACCUUGACGGUACCUAACCAGAAAGCCACGGCUAACUACGUGCCAGCAGCCGCGGUAAUACGUAGGUGGCAAGCGUUGUCCGGAAUUAUUGGGCGUAAAGGGCUCGCAGGCGGUUUCUUAAGUCUGAUGUGAAAGCCCCCGGCUCAACCGGGGAGGGUCAUUGGAAACUGGGAACUUGAGUGCAGAAGAGGAGAGUGGAAUUCCACGUGUAGCGGUGAAAUGCGUAGAGAUGUGGAGGAACACCAGUGGCGAAGGCGACUCUCUGGUCUGUAACUGACGCUGAGGAGCGAAAGCGUGGGGAGCGAACAGGAUUAGAUACCCUGG
rnacentral:rRNA from 1 species